rnacentral:lncRNA from 1 species
CCCAAUCCGAGUCACAAAAUCCAAAUAAUUCAACUGUGUCAGAUUUUUUAAACGUCAGACAAUAGUCAAUGGUUCCUUUCAGGUAUCUCAGGACAUCCUUGGCAGCAUUCAUGUGUGCAGCACUUGGCCACUGCAUAGCCUGAGACAGCUUGGACACAAUGUAGCAAAUAUCUGGUCAGGGAACAUGGGAAAUCUUUCGAGUAGCGACAACGACGGGAUUUCAACGGGAUUUCAAGGCCUUUCCUUUAUGGCACGGGCAUGCAGGGCUUCAUUCAAGGGGAAGGAUCACCAGAGGAAGAGGCAUAUACGAAGGCGGCACCAGCCGAAGACAGCUCAAGUGAGCACUGCAUCAAAGUCGACCCAAACCGCGGAGCUUGCAUCAAAGUCGACCCAAACCACGGACAGCUCCAGCGAUGAAGUGUCACCGAGGCUCGAGCGAUCGCCACCAAGUGGCCCAGCAUAGACAAGAAGUCCGUCGCUUUUCCUCGUACGGAAUAAGAAGAAUGACCAGGGCACGGUGCUGCAAAUCCACUCAUUUGGAUUUCGGUUUUUCCGUUUGGGCUUUUUACGUUUUCUCUUUCUUUUCUUCUCAUUUUCAACUUCUCGGUAUCGUUGUUUUUGAUUUGUAUCGUUAAGAUUGUUAAUGUGUCGACAAGCGGAAAGAUGUUAUAUUUGUUCUGUCUUCAUUUUGUUAUACCUAGACACUGCGCUUUUUUAGCACUUCUUGGUGACUACAUCGGGUCGGUACAUAAGGAACAAAUGGGUCUGGUUUUUUUUUUUUUGGAGUUCCAUCGCGUUUUGUGUUUCGAAUUCUCUCGACACUUAGUACUGUUGCUUGCUUUGGAUAAGCUGCGAUAUGCAGCUAAUCCAAAGCUGCGAGGCUUGAAUAUUUGAAAAAAAUGCCUUCAAAUCCGGUUUAUAUUGUCAUUUUACUAAAUUAUCUUUAAAACUUUCUCAAUAUAAUGGUUUCAAUGGUUUCAAUGUCAAUAUAAGGGUUUCAAAAACUUUUUCAAUAUAAUGGUUUUCAAUGGUUCUUAUAAUGAUUAAUUAGACACAUUAUUCCAGAUUUUGGCUUACGUAAAGUAAAAAUAUUCUGACGUGAAUGUGUUUCUUUUUAAGCAGAUAUUCGGUAGCAGCUGUUUGAAAGCUCUCGUGUCAGAAUAAAUCAUGAAUAAUUUAUAACAAUUUGAGGAGAAUAUUAUCUGCUGAGUUAUUACUUACAUUUAAGCAAUACCUAUUAUACUAUAUAUUAUAUAUAAUGGAAGUCAGUCUAUAAAUGGAAGUCAGUUUCUCUUAUUCAGGUUGUGACCGCAUUCAAAGGAACCGUUUUGCCCAGUCUCAUUCUUUCAGUAAGAAUUAUGUGCCUUCAUUCUCAUUCGAAUUAGAAAACUUGACCUUUGAUAAAAUGACCCUCGGCACUCUUUCAAAUUAGCGGAAUGUCGUACUAAAUGAAGAGCCAGACUUACAUUUUUCUUAAUUUCAAGGGACAUUCCUCAAUUCAUUUGAUUGUAAGCUACUGUUAUCACAGGGAUAAGUGAAUUUCCUUAUGCUUCCUUGGAACGCAUAAAAUAUUCGAGUUUCCACGUUAAAUUCGAACCUGUUAGCCAACAUAAAAAUGUAAAAAUA